rnacentral:lncRNA from 1 species
GUUUAGCUUGCAGUUAUGAAUGUCAUGGAAGUCACAAACUAUUUGAGCUAUACACAAAAAGAAAUUUUCGUUGUGAUUGUGGAAACAGCAAGUUUAAAAAUUUGGAAUGCAAAUUACUUCCUGACAAAGCAAAGGUAAAUUCUGGCAAUAAGUACAAUGACAACUUUUUUGGAUUGUACUGCAUUUGCAAGAGACCUUAUCCUGAUCCUGAAGACGAGAUUCCAGAUGAGAUGAUCCAGUGCGUAGUCUGUGAAGACUGGUUCCAUGGAAGGCAUCUUGGUGCCAUUCCCCCUGAGAGUGGGGAUUUUCAGGAGAUGGUAUGCCAGGCCUGCAUGAAACGUUGUUCUUUUUUGUGGGCUUAUGCUGCACAAUUGGCAGAAUACAAUGAUUUGAAGACUGAACUUAAAGACUAUCUCAAGAGAUUUGCUGAUGAAGGCACGGUUGUUAAGAGAGAGGACAUUCAGCAGUUCUUUGAAGAGUUUCAGUCAAAAAAGAGAAGAAGAGUGGAUGGGAUGCAGUAUU